ensembl:snRNA U6 U6 spliceosomal RNA
GACAUUUCUUUGAUGGCAUGCGCUAAACUGGAUAUGAUACAGGGAAGAUUAGCAUGGUCUCUGCGCAAGGAUGACACGUAAAUUCGUGAAGCGUUCCACAUUUUU